rnacentral:rRNA from 1 species
GAUGAACGCUAGCGGCGGGCUUAAUACAUGCAAGUCAAGGGGUAGCAAUACACCGGCGUACGGGUGCGUAACGCGUAUGGAACCUGCCCUUAUCUGGGGGAUAACUCGGGGAAACUCGAGCUAAUACCGCAUAAGAUAGUAGAGAGGCAUCUUUCAGCUAUUAAAGAUUUAUCGGAUAAGGAUGGCCAUGCGUAAGAUUAGAUAGUUGGCGAGGUAACGGCUCACCAAGUCUACGAUCUUUAGGGGCUCUGAGAGGAGAAUCCCCCACACUGGCACUGAGAUACGGGCCAGACUCCUACGGGAGGCAGCAGUAGGGAAUAUUGGGCAAUGGGCGGAAGCCUGACCCAGCCACGCCGCGUGCAGGAAGACGGCCCUCUGGGUUGUAAACUGCUUUUAACUGGGAAGAAAGCAGCUCAUGCGUGAGAAUUUGACGGUACCAGUUGAAUAAGCCACGGCUAACUACGUGCCAGCAGCCG